CUCACCAAUGAUGAGUUGAAUACCGCCCCAGUCUGAUAGCUGUGAAGAAAGGUAUUUACUGAGUUGUG
rnacentral:snoRNA from 1 species